rnacentral:lncRNA from 1 species
AGGCCUCGGAAUUUUUCAUUUGGAUGUAAUACCAUUCAUAAAAAAUGUGUGAAACUCAAUAUAUAAUAUUUUCAAAAUUUCGACUAACGAUAGAAUAAUAUUUUUGAUACAAAUUUUUCUAAUGAGUGUCUAAUUUGAGUCAAUUUGGAAACCAGUCACUCAAUUGAUACAUUUGGAUGAAACGAGUCACGAAGUUGAUAUUUAUCCCCUCCACAAUGUGUUUUCUUCCACUGGAAUACUUUGUGAUGGUUGGUUGACAAAAUUAGAGCCUCCUGUACUUGUAGUUGUAGCCGAGUUUGACAUGAACUCCAUUACUGAAUAAGAUUGCAAGCAACUGAAAUUAAUAAUAUUCUCUUGCGACAAGUAAAUCAAGCUGUAUAACAGUUCCUAAAUUAUUGCAAUUUACCAUUUAUAACUCAAGCUUAACACAUUGUCAAAAUAUAAAUCAAAUCUUCCAUAUAUAAUAUAACCAACCAAAUCAAAUCUUCCAUAUAUAACAAACCAAAUCUUUUAAAAUUCAAAAAUCAAAACGUAUCAGAGAUAUAUACUAAUACCAGUAUACCACAUAACCCCAAAUCACCAAUUAAUCAAUCAUACCAUACCAAAGAUAUAAAUCACGAGCAAUUAUAUAUACAUAGAAUCUAUAGACACACGAGUAGAUAUACAAAAACACACUUACCAAACGAAAUAGUUGAGCUGGAGAUCUUGAUUUGAUUGAAGAUUGAUGAUUGAAGUUGAGCUGGAGUCGAUUUGAUUGAAGAUUGAUGAUUGAAGUUGAGCUGGAGUCGCCGCCUCUCUUCUCUCUCGUACACAAACCUAAUUUUGACCCCAGACCCCUCUUUUCUUUUCUUUUGACCAGGUUAUUUUAAGUUUUUAUUUUUAAAAAAAAGUUGUUCAAAAUUACAAUUCGUGCCACUCCCGCACCCCCGUUCCCGCACCCCCGCGUAUCCCCCUCGCUGCCUCCACCGAUACGCCACGUGGCGUAUCCCGUGCGUAUCCCGCCGCAC